rnacentral:rRNA from 1 species
ACUACGGGUGGCAGCAGUGAGGAAUAUUGGUCAAUGGACGAGAGUCUGAACCAGCCAAGUAGCGUGAAGGAUGACUGCCCGAUGGGUUGUAAACUUCUGUUAUAAAGGAAUAAAACGAGGCACGUGUGCCUUUUUGCAUGUACGUUAUGAAUAAGGAUCGGCUAACUCCGUGCCAGCAGCCGCGGUAAUACGGAGGAUCCGAGCGUUAUCCGGAUUUAUUGGGUUUAAAGGGAGCGUAGUUGGGUUGUUAAGUCAGUUGUGAAAGUUUGCGGCUCAACCGUAAAAUUGCAAUUGAUACUGGCAGUCUUGAGUCCAGUUGAGGUAGGCGGAAUUCGUGGUGUAGCGGUGAAAUGCUUAGAUAUCAC